rnacentral:rRNA from 1 species
UGGGGAAUUUUGCACAAUGGGGGAAACCCUGAUGCAGCGACGCCGCGUGAUUUAGAAGGCCUUCGGGUUGUAAAAAUCUUUUCUAUGGGAAGAAAAUGACAGUACCAUAGGAAUAAGGACCGGCUAAAUACGUGCCAGCAGCCGCGGUAAUACGUAAGGUCCGAGCGUUGUCCGGAAUCAUUGGGCGUAAAGGGUACGUAGGCGGGUAAGCAAGUUAGAAGUGAAAUCCUAUAGCUCAACUAUAGUAAGCUUUUAAAACUGCUCAUCUUGGGGUAUGGAAGGGAGAGUGGAAUUCCUAGUGUAGCGGUGAAAUGCGCAGAUAUUAGGAGGAAUACCGGUGGCGAAGGCGACUUUCUGGCCAUAACCUGACGCUGAGGUACGAAAGCGUGUGUAGCAAACAGG